rnacentral:tRNA from 1 species
UGGUGUAAUGGUAGCACACUCGGUCCGUAUUCGAGAGGCCCAGGUUCGAGUCCCGG